rnacentral:rRNA from 1 species
AUUGAACGCUGGCGGCAGGCUUAACACAUGCAAGUCGAGCGGGGUGAUGGUGCUUGCACUAUCACUUAGCGGCGGACGGGUGAGUAAUGCUUAGGAAUCUGCCUAUUAGUGGGGGACAACAUCUCGAAAGGGAUGCUAAUACCGCAUACGUCCUACGGGAGAAAGCAGGGGAUCACUUGUGACCUUGCGCUAAUAGAUGAGCCUAAGUCGGAUUAGCUAGUUGGUGGGGUAAAGGCCUACCAAGGCGACGAUCUGUAGCGGGUCUGAGAGGAUGAUCAGCAACACUGGGACUGAGACGCGGCCCAGACUCCUACGGGAGGCAGCAGUGGGGAAUAUUGGACAAUGGGGGGAACCCUGAUCCAGCCAUGCCGCGUGUGCGAAGAAGGCCUUAUGGUUGUAAAGCACUUUAAGCGAGGAGGAGGCUCUUUUGGUUAAUACCCAAGAUGAGUGGACGUUACUCGCAGAAUAAGCACCGGCUAACUCUGUGCCAGCCGCCGCAGUAA